ACCAUCAAAAUAAUUCACUCAUCCCUUCCUGGCCGCCCAAAGCCGCCGCCUCUGCCCGGAGCACGGGCCACACCUUUGGAAUGCUAGGUGGGACUCAGCCCCAGAGCUUCCCGGUGGGGUUCCUGGGGACCAUCAGCGACGGGGAGGUCCUGGGAGGAACAGCCCCUGGCACCGGCUCCGGGACGGCUCCGCUCCUUGACACGCAGAUGAACCGCAGGUCACCCUACCACGGGCCAGAUCCCGCCCAGGCAGGGCAGACUUUCCCAGGAGAGCUCCCAGCACAAACACUGAACACAAAUACUGGUCUCUAAGCAUCUGGAGUCAGGAAGAGGUGUCGGGCGAGGGGACUGGAAGAGGUUCCCUCCGGCUCUAGGCCAUCGGUUCUGUGAUUCAGUUGCAGAGUUCCUUCACAGAUUGCUCGGCAUUCAGGAAGAUGUUAAGUUUCUGCUUGACUUGGCAAGUCUGAGGGAAGCGAACAUAUCCAGAAAGGCAAGACUGGAAUAUUCCAAUUUGAACCGGGCAAUGUCUACGCAAUCCCAGGUGGAUGAGGUUAAAAACUGGCCCAUCUGGUCUAAUGGUAAAAUUGGGGAUGAUUGUGGAAAGAGACAGAGGUGGGAAAGCAGGCUCGGGAUGUGUGCUUCUGACACCCCCGUCCCCCAAGCCCUGGGAACAGGGCCGAGGAUGGCCAUCCAUCUCCUCCGGGCCCCAGAAGGCCAGCAGAGGGGAAACACCAUCCUUUGGUAGCAGAUAAUAACCACAUUGCGCUUACCCGGGGGAGAGGCAGCAGAUCUAGUCCCUAUUUUGAUGUCUCUAACUAGGGGAAAGGAGAGUACUAUCAUGGAUUUCAAACUGGAUUGGACCUUAGGGAUCAUCAAGUCCAACACCUACCCAACCCAUUUUACAUGUGAACAACUGAGUCUUCUAACAACAUUUAGUGACUUAUUCAAGGUCACCCAGCUUGUGUCUGAGAUCACAUCUGAACACGGGUCUUCUCCAUGGCCAGAGCUCCUGAGAGUAUAUCACCAGCUGCCUCUUGGGAAUAUAUGCCCGUGGCUAGUGGACGGAACCAGUCAGGGGCGGACCUGGAACAGAUUUUGGAAGUAAACAAGAGCUCUCAUUUUAUGGAGAGCCCUGGAGCCCAGAGGGCUGGUAAGGGCCCCUUUCCAAGGUCAUAUGGAGGUUGGGGAUGUGGGAGAGCCAGAAUUUGAACAUGGACCUUAGGAUUCCAUGUACAGCUUUCUUUUCCCAUUCCACAUCGCUGGAUGAACUAGAGGAAAAAACUAUCAGGUGUGGUCCAAAUGAAAAAGUCCCCAAGAAAAUGGAAAUGGAAGAAUAGGGGCUAAGAAACCGGCAAAAACAAAAACAAAAACAGAAACUGUGACUCAUGGAUCGUGGAGAAGAGAGAGUGAAAUGUAGAAAAAGAGAAGGAAGAAGGGACAGGCUUCCCCAAAGGACAUUUGUUGGUUUUUUCUUGCGGCCUCGUGCCAGGCUGGCCGAGGAGUUGGAAUCCAGGAUUGUCCCAUCUAGACCGAGUGACUAAUGUGGAAGAGCUGAAUUCAGAGAAUCAAGGGGGUGACCAAUGGAGAGGAACAGCGAGCUCCCACACAGGCUCCAGCUCAAGCCCUUCCUUUUACAGAUCAGAGACCAAGGAGUUUGCUCAAGGAAUCUGAGCAGGAAGUUAGAGACCGGCUUAAAACCCCAGUUUCUGACUCCAAGUCUGGCGCCGACCUUCAAACUCAGCCCCUCAAGCCAGGGGGUUUCUGGACCCUCCCCUUGUGUCCAUGUCUUGUGUUCGUCCCUGCCUGGGGAGCUUUGGUCAACUGCUCCGGGUUCCCUUUGGGCCCAGCACUUAGUGCAGCUUCUCAGAGGGGGAUAGGGGUAUCUGAAGGCUCUCUGCCGUGGAUGAAAGCCCCAACUUCUCCCAGAAUCGGAAUCGGGGGCUUGCAGGCAACGUGCUUCUAAGAUAAAAGGAGAGGAAGUUACCACAAGGACCGCAAUUUUAGGGACAAGAAUAGGGACUUAGCUUUUUCAAAGUCCCACAAUAGAGAUAUGACAGAGAUGAUUUAAGUGUUAUGAUUUCUGUUUUAAGAUAAGGACCCUAAUCCGGUUAUUAAGUAUCAAAGAUAGGAUUUGAGCCCAGAUUAAUUUAUAAUAAUUUCUCAUUGUAGAGAUGAAACCCUGUGGGUGACUGUGAUCCCAAUGAGAACAUAUCAGGACUAGGAGAUGACCCUGGGAAGGAGAAAAUGAAGAAUCCCUAUUCUAAUUCCCUGGCCUUUGUUGAAAAAAGCCGAUGUCCUUUCAAUCCAGUUCAGCUGCUUUCCCUCCCAUAAUGGUUGUUGAAGAGCAGAGCUAUGGAAGCCAAGAUGUCCCGGAGUUUGGGGACAAAGAUUCUGAUUGUGGGUCUCUUUGGCGCCAAGUCCAUUGCACUCCCGCUGUUCGGAUUCAUGUUUUUCCAUUACUGCCGGAGUAAUUUGAGUAACAGAGCUCACCAGCGGCCCUGGGCCUGUCCAUACAGUUCUUUUAUUGGAGAAGAAAUCACAUUUCCUGGGACAAAAGUCACAUUGACAAAGGCCCUAGCAAUAGUCAAGAGCCAUUCACUGUCCAUGUGAGCCCGUCAGCCAGGCUCACUUGUGUGCCCGACUUGGUUGACAACAUUGAAGUGAAUGGGGUCAGCCAGACAUGGGGAAAAUGCAGGGUUUCUUCCUCUUUUCUCUCUCCCAGUUAGAAAAGAACAAUUUUCCUUUUCUGCGCCCCUUCUCCAAUACCCGCAAACCCUUCCCCACUGCCUCCAUUGGGUCCACUUGUCCAGCAUGGGGCUCCUUCUUAAGAGAACUGGUAUAAAGAGAAAAAAAAUCUUCAAUAGUUCUUUUUUCCCUUUUUCCCUCCCCCUUUUUCCUCCUCCUGUCUCAUAAGCACAGCCAGGGUUUCGCCAACUCAUUUACAGGCUCUCUCUUCCUAAUGAUGUUAGCACCUUCUGGUCCUAGAAGUAUAUCUGAAACCAGGGCCCUGACAUGGGCAGAGGCUGCUACCCAAAGGCCCAUCCUAAGCUUGGGGCCCCAAGAACAUCCUAUAAUUUGAAAGCAGCAUAAAAGGGGCCCUGUAACGUCUGGAUCAAACUGUUUAUUUAAUAGAUGAGGAUGCUGACGGUGAGAUUUGCCCAGAGUACCUUGCGUCUGCACCGGCAGAACCAGAGUCAUUGAUUGGAUUGGAUGUAUCUGGGGGAAAUUGGGGGCAAUGGGGGCAAUUGUCAACGUUAGGGUGACUGGAGAUCGUGUCGGGAGAGGGGACUGCCAUUUCUCUGGCACAAUGGCCAUUGAAUGAAAUCACCAGAAGCAUUCAAAAAAGUCUGCUGAAUGAGUAAGGCUCACAGAGGAACUCUGGCUUCUUUGAAUAAACUCUUAUCUUGCUAACUGAUGAAUUUCUGAAAGCUUGGAGCAUUCGGUAUUGACCACUGUUGGAUUGGGUUUGUUCCCAUUCUAAUCACUUCGAUUUGAGCUACCAAGGAUUCAUUUAAGUCCAUUAAAAAUAGUUGCUGAGAUCA